CAGGCUGCCAGUAGUCCAAACUGUGCCUCUGUGCAACUUAGGAAAAGGACACUGCUUGUUUUGCUCUGUUGUUGUUUUUUUGUUUUGUUUUGUUUUGUUUCCUGGGACAAUCAGCCAUGAUUCUUUCAAAUCCCUCUGUCACGUAAUCUGCGUCCCUUGGAAAACUCCACUCUUCCCCACCAGGCCUUCCCAUUGCUUGUUUGUCACUUGAGGAAACUUGUCUUCAUCAGUGUGGGAAGUAUGACAUCACUGAAGUGAUUUCCUUGAUGGAAGAGAGCAGAGGGGAAUGUUUUUUAAGUUAAGGGAG
rnacentral:lncRNA from 12 species